rnacentral:misc_RNA from 1 species
GUUUCAUUGAACAUUGAAGAAUCCCAUAGUUAUGAGAAAAUCAUGAAACUGAUUACCAAAAUCUUAGGAAUGAUUUAUCAUUCAUUAUAGCAUUCCAUAUAUAUUAUGAAUCUUCCAUUAUGAAUAUAGAGUUCUAUGUAUAAUGCAAGACAAGCAACACAAGUGAAUAAAAUAUAGCCCUUUUAAGGUUUUGUGUCUGUGGAUGCAUGCUCUUCAUAGCUGA